GUACUCUCUAUUGGGAAGAUUAGCGGACUAUUAAUCCGUAUGUCGCUGGUUCAAGUCCAGCAGAGUGAA
rnacentral:tRNA from 1 species